AGCGAUCUCGAAUAUCUACGUACCGUACUUCAGGUCUUCGUCUUCUAACGUAUGACAAUCGACCCUGAGCUAGGAAUCUCUCCUGCUUAUAUACCCCGAUGGUAGCCGUACCAUUAUUGAAGGAGGGGUGUUCUUCCAAAGUGUCUCAUCACUAGUAUCUGAGUUUCCUAAGGAACACCCCUUUACAUUUGACCUGACCCAAAGUUUACCCGCGAAACAUCUUACUCUUUUCUAUGUUUAUUAAAGUAUCAUAUAAAUAUAUAAAAUAAGGCUUCUGCCGAACUGUAACCAGUGUAAACA
rnacentral:lncRNA from 1 species